rnacentral:rRNA from 1 species
CGGCAAGAGCUCAAAUUUGAAAUCUGGCCUCCCCCGGGGGUCCGAGUUGUAAUUUGCAGAGGAUGCUUCGGGCGCGGCCCCCGUCUAAGUUCCUUGGAACAGGACGUCAGAGAGGGUGAGAAUCCCGUCUUGGGCGGGCGGCCCGCGCCCGUGUGAAGCUCCUUCGACGAGUCGAGUUGUUUGGGAAUGCAGCUCUAAGCGGGUGGUAAAUUUCAUCUAAAGCUAAAUACCGGCCGGAGACCGAUAGCGCACAAGUAGAGUGAUCGAAAGGUUAAAAGCACCUUGAAAAGGGAGUUAAACAGCACGUGAAAUUGUUGAAAGGGAAGCGCUUGCGGCCAGACUCGGGGGGCGGGGUUCAGCGGGCGCUCGUCGCCCGUGCACUGCCCGCUCCCCGGGCCAGCAUCAGCUUCGACGGCCGGUCAAAGGCCCCCGGAAUGUGUCGUCUCUAGGGACGUCUUAUAGCCGGGGGUGCAAUGCGGCCCGUCGAGACUGAGGAACGCGCUCCGGCUCGGAUGCUGGCGUAAUGGCCGU